rnacentral:rRNA from 1 species
CCUACGGGAGGCUGCAGUGGGGAAUAUUGGACAAUGGGGGGAACCCUGAUCCAGCCAUGCCGCGUGUGUGAAGAAGGCCCUCGGGUUGUAAAGCACUUUCAGUGAGGAAGAACGCCUGGUGGUUAAUACCCAUCAGGAAAGACAUCACUCACAGAAGAAGCACCGGCUAACUCCGUGCCAGCAGCCGCGGUAAUACGGAGGGUGCGAGCGUUAAUCGGAAUUACUGGGCGUAAAGCGCGCGUGGGUGGCUUGAUAAGCCGGUUGUGAAAGCCCCGGGCUCAACCUGGGAACGGCAUCCGGAACUGUCAAGCUAGAGUGCAGGAGAGGAAGGUAGAAUUCCCGGUGUAGCGGUGAAAUGCGUAGAGAUCGGGAGGAAUACCAGUGGCGAAGGCGGCCUUCUGGACUGACACUGACACUGAGGUGCGAAAGCGUGGGUAGCAAACAGGAUUAGAUACCCCUGUAGUC